rnacentral:rRNA from 1 species
CGCGUAGGCGGCUCGGUAAGUCUGGAGUGAAAGUCCUGGCUUCAAGUUGGGAAUUGCUUUGGAUACUGUCGGGCUUGAGUGCAGGAGAGGUUAGUGGAAUUCCCAGUGUAGCGGUGAAAUGCGUAGAGAUUGGGAGGAACACCAGUGGCGAAGGCGACUAACUGGACUGUAACUGACGCUGAGGCGCGAAAGUGUGGGGAGCAAACA